CGUAGGGUGCGAGCGUUAAUCGGAAUUACUGGGCGUAAAGUGUGCGCAGGCGGCGCUGCAAGUCGAGUGUGAAAUCCCCGAGCUUAACUUGGGAAUUGCGCUCGAAACUACGGCGCUGGAGUAUGGCAGAGGAAGGUGGAAUUCCACGUGUAGCGGUGAAAUGCGUAGAGAUGUGGAGGAACACCGAUGGCGAAGGCAGCCUUCUGGGCCAAUACUGACGCUCAUGCACGAAAGCGUGGGGAGCAAACAGGAUUAGAUACCCUGGUAGUCCACGCCCUAAACGAUGAUGAUUAGUUGUUGGAGGAGUUAAAUCCUUUAGUAACGCAGCUAACGCGUGAAGUCAUCCGCCUGGGGAGUACGGUCGCAAGAUUAA
rnacentral:rRNA from 1 species